rnacentral:rRNA from 1 species
AUGGGAACGCGAAGAACCUUACCUAGACUUGACAUCUCCUGAAUAGUGUAGAGAUACAUGAAGCCCUUCGGGGCAGGAAGACAGGUGGUGCAUGGUUGUCGUCAGCUAGUGUCGUGAGAUGUUGGGUUAAGUCCCGCAACGAGCGCAACCCUUAUUACUAGUUGCUACCAUUAAGUUGAGCACUCUAGUGAGACUGCCCGGGGUUAACCGGGAGGAAGGCGGGGAUGACGUCAAAUCAUCAUGCCCCUUAUGUCUAGGGCUACACACGUGCUACAAUGGUGGGAACAAAGAGAUGCAAUACCGCAAGGUGGAGCUAAACUCAAAACCCCAUCCCAGUUCGGAUUGUAGGCUGAAACUCGCCUACAUGAAGCUGGAGUUGCUAGUAAUCGCGAAUCAGAAUGUCGCGGUGAAUACGUUCCCGGGUCUUGUACACACCG